GCAAGUCGAGCGAGACGGCCAUGAAUGAUCCUUCGGGUGAAUGAUUGGCUAGACAGCGGCGGACGGGUGAGUAACGCGUGGAUAACCUGCCUUAUACUGGGGGAUAACGUUUUGAAAAGAACGCUAAUACCGCAUAAGCGCACAGGACCGCAUGGUCUGGUGUGAAAAACUCCGGUGGUAUAAGAUGGAUCCGCGUCAGAUUAGCUAGUUGGUGAGAUAAAAGCUCACCAAGGCGACGAUCUGUAGCCGACCUGAGAGGGUGAUC
rnacentral:rRNA from 1 species